UCCUAUGCUGGGCCGCCAAAGUGUUUCGAAUGCCAAUAACGGUAACGACUUUGAAAUGCUCAGUCAGAGCAUCCAGUACGCUGGUGGAAACGAACGGUAAAACUACGCGAGCGCGUGUCUACGAAGUUUCGAACGGCAAACGGUUUUUAAAUAGUGAAUUUUCAAUGGCGACCCUAGCAGAGUGAGCUGCGGUAAAAUCAAAGAUUCCGGUGUGCAUAAUGAAAAACAUUGAAUCGAGAAAAACUUACAAAUAGAAUUAAAAAACAAGCAGUAAUUAAAACUGCCGGAAAAAACUGGCUGAGUGACGUUUUUCUGUGAAGGGAAAUUCACGCAAAGCGGUCUUCCCAUAACGCAUUCUUUCGCCAUCGUGAUUAGCGCUGCUUGACUGAGUUAGUGCAUGCGUACUGAAUUAAUAAAUUCGGCAAAUUCUUGGAGAGAAUUAAAAGUCGUUAUGAAAUAGCAAAAUCUAAGCACAGUGAAACAAAUGCGUUAAACGAAUGUGAAGUGAAUUUUCUUGUGAAACUCAGAGGUUGAUGAAAUAUAUGUAAAGCGUGGCAUGAGCCCCAAGUUGUGUAUAAAUUGAAAGAGUUUAUACAAAUCUAAACUACAAAACAAAAAACGUCUAAACUGCGUUAAGAAAAAACAUAUUUCAAU